rnacentral:lncRNA from 1 species
GUUGUGUCAUAAUGAUGGUGGAAUUGAGGAGGAGGAGGAGGAGAAAGGGGAUGUCAUUUCACAAAUGAUUCAGCUACAGUCAUACUUCUCUUCCUACUUAUUUCACUGAGUAUCUGACAAUCAAGAAAGGUGCAAUUAUCUAAAGUAAAGAAACUGCUAUAUUAACAGAAAUAGUCUUUUACCACAGAGAUUAAACAUGGAAUUUCAAGGGCUCAUUCAUCAACACGUUGCUUACAUGUUACAGUUUCAGAACUCAGCAGAGCUGCCUGAAGAACUGGGGAUUCUUCCACAUCCAUUGGACACUGGAGAAACUUACGCAGGUUCUGCAUUUAUGGCCGUCAUAAAGAACUUCAGUAUCUCAGUGAUCUCAUCUGCAUCAAUGGCUCUCAUCAAGUUAACGGCUUUAUGACAGAACUAUGCUAUUUUAGACACGAUAUUUUAUAUGAUGUUUUUUAACAUAAAAUUAGAAUUUCUUGAAAAUCAACAAAACCUGAGCAUUUACUAAGACGAAUAUCAUUUAGUAAAAAAAAAAAAAAAAAAAAAAAAAAAAAGCAAGCUAUAUUUCAUUCUAGGGUCUGCGUCUUUAAAGAUCUAACUGGUGUAUACAUGUCUUUGUUGUGUGAUGCAGCGGUU